rnacentral:snRNA from 1 species
AGCUUUGCGCAGUGGCAGUAUCGUAGCCAAAGAGGUUUAUCAGAGGCGCGAUUAUUGCUAAUUGAAAAGGUAGCUUACUUAAGAAGGAUAAAGUUAGGGACUUAAAACUCUUGUGUUCAGAGUUGA